UACGUAGGGGGCUAGCGUUGUCCGGAAUCAUUGGGCGUGAAGCGCGUGUAGGCGGUCCGGUAAGUCCGCUGUGAAAGUCGGGGGCUCAACCCUCGAAUGCCGGUGGAUACUGUCGGGCUAGAGUGCGGAAGAGGCGAGUGGAAUUCCUGGUGUAGCGGUGAAAUGCGCAGAUAUCAGGAGGAACACCAAUUGCGAAGGCAGCUCGCUGGGACGUAACUGACGCUGAGACGCGAAAGCGUGGGGAGCAAACAGG
rnacentral:rRNA from 1 species